AGACUCCAGAAGUACAGUAUGCGUCUGCCCCCUAGCGUAAGUCUUUCAUCGGCCUGAAAAAAAUCCAACUUUCAAAGAAACGCUGCUCUUAAAGGGAAAGGGACGUGGGGGGAGGACGUAGGCAAAGCGAGACGGGGGGGGGGAGGCAAGCAACUCCUAAACUUCUGCACGUUUAUAAUAUGAUUAAUUCCUCCGGAUUGCCAGUUAAGGAGUUAUGUCAUUUUAAAAAUAAAAUAAAAUAACAUCUUUUUGUGCUCCGGACUUGCAAACUUCCGAAAAAAUUGUGAUUUUUUUUUUAAGGGAGGAGGCGACAUAGGAUGGAUAAGGAAUCCCCCCGCCGGUCUAAUAGGGAGAAGCGAGUGUGAGCGAGUGCAUGUGCGUGCGUGCGUAUUUCUCGCGCUAGGGAAAGUCUAGAGCUCUUCCACGCGGCUUUUUUUUUUUUUAAGUGACAUCAGCCUGAAGAUUAUUAAUCCCCCCCACUCCCCAACUUCCAACAAUUAAAAGGAACAAACAAAACUUUGCGCCUGGAAACCUGGAUUUGGCAACAGAUAUCCCCUCUGGCAGUGGAAUUCUUGAGGAUGGUUCUAAUGGAAAGUGUCACGUGACAGUGCCACAUAUUUUCUAGAAAAAAGGAAGAAAGCAAGCACAGAGAACUGUUGACAGACUUGCCCAGGGGAGCAUUUUCUCCACGUGGUAUAGAAAUCUGCCCCACCUUUAUGUGCAGAAGCGUCGUGAUGAAUGGACACAGCAGGGUUUGGUGCGCUGUCUCAGUGAUCGCAACUGUACAGGUAUUCCAAUUGAACUCCAUUUAUCAAGCGAUCAUGGAUUAAACAGUAACUCAGGGCUGACAAUGAAAAUGUUACCAGGAGGGCGGUGAAGAAUAGAUUGAAGAAAACCAACUUCUUCGACAGAGAACAGAUCAACAUUCUUCACUGAGGUUCUGGCAAGGACAAUGAUGUUAGUUCACUGAAACAGCAGAAGCAGUGGCAAAAGUCUUCUUGAACAGUAUCGCUUUGGACUGCAAGUGGAGGGGGAGUCUGAUUUUUGAAUGGCCCCUUGCACUUAAAUUCCACCCCCCCAAGCGAUAACUUGCAUGUCCCAUUAUGACUUCUGAAGCCACUUCUCAGAGGAGGAAAACCAAAACAAAUCACUGCUUUUCUGCAUCCCCAGACCUGGAAAUUUUGUCUGGCGAGAUGGAUAGAAAAACAAAUUUCAAAAACCCCAGCCUUAAGAAAGUUCAGUGGCUACGGACUUCAGACGUGCAUGUUGAGGAACAUCAGAGGCACAAUUCAUACCUUGGAGCACUUUUCCAUUAUCAAAUGGGAUUCCCACUCCAGCAACUUGAAAACACACACAUCUCCUUGGAGAAUUUCCUCAAAGAUACGGUGCGCAUGGCCUGAAGAGCUCGUAUUUCUAAUCCUCUUCAGAAUGGUUUUAUUUUUUAGGGGGGAGGGGUGGUGGAAAUGAAAAACAGCAGCUCAUACUAGAAAGGAGAUGGAGAGGAAGGCAAAGAAUCCUUGGCUGGAGAGCUGAGAAAGUGUGGCAGAAGUCAAACAAUCUUGUAUGAGAUGAAAGCGGUUACAGACAGCAGAAAUGGCGUUUCCUCCGGGGGGAAGCGACACUGCAAAUUCGUUGUUCAAAGUUCUCAUGUUUCAUCCUAACAAAUUCCAUUACAUUGGGAAGAUUAGAAAAAAAAAUUGCAUUCUGUUUCCUUGGGCUGUGAAAAUGUAAGCAAAAUAAAUUCAAUGAGGAAGGGGGGAAGGAAGAGGGGGGGGGGAAAGAGAUGUGAUAUUUUCCUUCUCAGUAUUAGAAGGACCCCAAUAUUUGCACCUAGUGCAGCAAAGAAAUGGGGGACGUGGGAUUGCAUAAGGAAGCCAGGAAUGUUUUGAAGUCCGUGUUCUCUGUAGACCACAUUUUACAUGAACAAGAAUGAAAUGGAGAGACAUGGGCAGGAUUAUGAGCUACUGUUGAAAGAUUAUUAUUCUGAACAAUUGGUCUUAUUUUUGGAAAGGUUUUCAGGCAAAAAGGAAAAGGGGAAAAAAGGAAAAAAACAAAACCCAAAGGCAUGUGUUAAUGCUGCGGGGGGCUGAAUUCUGAGUAUUUUGGCACUAGUCACAUUUUUAGGGAACAUUUCAAGAAUGCACAGCUCUUUUUCGUAAUGAUUUUUUGGGGCAUCGUUUGCAACACACACACACACACACACACACACACACACACCACCCCACAUUCAUCUGUAUUCCCCACAUUUGUUUUUGCCCCUAAAUGACUUCAUUUGCCACACUGCUAAGUCCCAUUGGCUUUGUGGCACAGUAACGUUCUCUUUACCCUGUGUUCCCUGAUUGGUUGGAAUCACUUAUAUGACUACUCCAAGAAGGUGAAAGAUGCAGCAAUGAGAGGGGAAAUAGCCACAGAACAACAGCCAGGGGAAAUGGCCACAACAAAGAGGAUAAAAAAAUGUGGCUUCUUUUUUUGGGGGAAAGGCAUCAUAGUACGUCUGCAAAAUAAUUGUAUAGAAUACAAAAUCAUUGUGUAGAAACCGUAGAAUAUUCAGCACACUUUUAGUACUACAAACACACAACAUGCUUGGCAAUUAACUGAUCAGAUAACAAAAUCCAUCACGCAAGUGAUUGUGUGGAUAUUCACUGGCAGUUCAAUUGGAGCUGGAAAGCACUUAGAGUGGGCAUUCCAGUGGUACUGAGAGGUCAGAAAGAGAUGGAAUCAAAUGGUGUUCACUGAAGGAUGGCCAGUGAGGAAUCUGAUCUGUUGGCUCUAGACAAGGGGAGGGUCCAAACAUCAGUGGCAAAUCAUGCAGACAGUCCCAAGACUAGAUCUCUGGCUUCUCCCACUUUUAAAGAGUCUCAAGUGGUAGAGUUGAGGAAGACCUCUCUCUGCUUGAAAUCCUGGAGAGCUGCAGCUGCUCAACAAAAUACUGGCCUAGAUGGACCAGGACAGUUCCAUGUAAGGGACUUCUGGCAUCCCUGAUUUCAGUCAUACAUUAGUUGGAAAGCACUUUCUUUAAAAUGUUCAUAUAGCCAAGAAGAUGCAAGAGUGCCCAGUUUUAGACUUCUGUCCCAGAUCCUUGAAUCCAACACACAAUGACUAUAGCGGCAAUAACUCUCCCCCUGACUCAGCUGUCCGCAGCACACUCAGCAUCGUAAUCAUGCAAAUUAAAUACAAAUUUUAAAAAUUGCCCCCAUUAAAAUGAUCUAUUAAUGUUGUAAGGCUCCAGCACUUAUGGAGAACGGUUCUAAUUGCCUGAUCUUGCCAUUGGCACAUCUUAAAAGACCUGGCAGAUCUUGAAGAUAUUUACACCUCUGGGAUUAAUUUCAUUGUAAGGAAUUAACUUUUGGCAAAGCUUGGUUGCUGCCACUAGGAGGG